UACGUAGGGUGCGAGCGUUAAUCGGAAUUACUGGGCGUAAAGCGUGCGCAGGCGGUCAUGCAAGACGGAUGUGAAAUCCCCGGGCUCAACCUGGGAACUGCAUUCGUGACUGCAUGACUGGAGUGUGGCAGAGGGGAAUGGAAUUCCGCGUGUAGCAGUGAAAUGCGUAGAUAUGCGGAGGAACACCGAUGGCGAAGGCAGUUCCCUGGGCCUGCACUGACGCUCAUGCACGAAAGCGUGGGGAGCAAAC
rnacentral:rRNA from 1 species